ACGGGUGAGUAACGCGUGGGUAACCUGCCUUAUACAGGGGGAUAACAGUUGGAAACGACUGCUAAUACCGCAUAAGCGCACAGUGCUGCAUGGCACGGUGUGAAAAGAUUUAUCGGUAUAAGAUGGACCCGCGUCUGAUUAGCUAGUUGGUGAGGUAAUGGCUCACCAAGGCGACGAUCAGUAGCCGGCUUGAGAGAGUGAACGGCCACAUUGGGACUGAGACACGGCCCAAACUCCUACGGGAGGCAGCAGUGGGGAAUAUUGCACAAUGGGGGAAACCCUGAUGCAGCGACGCCGCGUGAGUGAAGAAGUAUUUCGGUAUGUAAAGCUCUAUCAGCAGGGACGAAGAAAUGACGGUACCUGACUAAGAAGCCCCGGCUAACUACGUGCCAGCAGCCGCGGUAAUACGUAGGGGGCAAGCGUUAUCCGGAUUUACUGGGUGUAAGGGGAGCGUAGACGGUGAUGUAAGUCAGAUGUGAAAGCCCAGGGCUCAACCCUGGGACUGCAUUUGAAACUAUGUGACUAGAGUGCAGGAGAGGUAAGUGGAAUUCCUAGUGUAGCGGUGA
rnacentral:rRNA from 1 species